AAACCACUGGACCGAACAGAUCUAAGGUCAAAUUUAGUCAGUUAUGAUUAGUGCAACCCCCAGUUAUUUACUUGAGAUUUAGGGAUAGUUAGGGAGACAAGGAGAUGAAAUAGAAGAAAAAUAUUCCCAGGCAUCCUGAGGCCUCCCCCAGCUGCAGGCACAGACUGUGGGCACCAGCCAACCUGGGCACCAACUGACUGAAACCCCUCACUGAGCCUCGCUAAGCCCUGUGCCCUGCUGUACAGCUGCCCCAAAGCUGUGGGGUUCCCUGAUCCAGUAUGUGUUGAUGGGCUCUCCAUUUUCUCUGAUAUCUCCCCAGGUAUUCAUAUGCUGCACGGGGGUCUGGAUGUCUCCAGCAGUGGCACAGCAGCCUGAUGCCUCUUCUUGUCUGGGACAUGGGAUCCUCCACAGCUCUUCUGGGGUAUGGAGUCCUUGGGUGGCCCACUGAAGGGGGACAUCUUGAAGAGAAGCAGCUAGACGUCAUGAUGCAGUUGUUCAUUUUGGUCAUCGCCUCUGAGAGAUGGAAGCAAUGAUAGCAAAUGCUGACAAAGAGAAAAGAUGGACAAGCGGUUUUUUGUGAUUAAUACCUAAUGGACUGGAUGAAACAAGGAAACAAAAAUGAAGCUUAAUGGACCCUUAAUAUUACCAGAAACUGCUAUAGAAGGAGGUGUUCCACCAUGGGUAACUAAGGUAACUAUUAUAACAAAUAACAAAUCCCUGUUAUUUCUGUCUUCCGGGGGCAGCACUGGGGACCAAGUAACCCAUUCUUACCCUUUGGAUAUUGUUAACUGUAUCUGCCUCAGUUUUGCUUUGGUUGUUUCUGUUUGGUGUUGUUAUCUGAUAUCCGUAUACAAAAAGGAAAAGAUAUAAUACUUGUUAGAUUAAUUGCUAUGGCUGAAAUUGAACAGACCAGGAAAACGUAAGCAAGCUGAAGUAAUAAAAUCAAAUGGAACCAACUGAAAGCUGUCUCCAUCUCCC